UAAGGAAUAUUGCACAAUGGGGGAAACCCUGAUGCAGCAACGCCGCGUGAGUGACGAAGGCCUUCGGGUUAUAAAACUCUUUUCUGAGGGAUGAGGAAGGACAGUACCUUAGGAAUAAGUCUCGGCUAACUACGUGCCAGCAGCCGCGGUAAAACGUAGGAGGCGAGCGUUAUCCGGAUUUACUGGGCGUAAAGGGCAAGUAGGCGGUGGUUCAAGUUGGGCGUGACAGAUCCUGGCUUAACUGGGAGAGGUCGUUCAAAACUGGAUCACUAGAGGGCAGGAGAGGGGAGCGGAAUUCCUAGUGUAGCGGUGGAAUGCUCAGAUAUUAGGAAGAACACCAGUGGCGAAAGCGGCUUUCUGGCCUGCACCUGACGCUGAAGGGCGAAAGCUAGGGGAGCGAACG
rnacentral:rRNA from 1 species